rnacentral:sRNA from 1 species
CUGAGGUCCGCGACUCGUCGCUAAGAUUCCCCAAAACUGAGAUUUCAAGAAAAUUCACCCUUUCCGCUUUCUUUGGCGUCCUUCAACCGUGAAGGAAAUGAAGGUUGAGAACCUGGAACCCGCUUCCAAAGACCAAGCCCUUUCUCUGUGCCUCACAACAGUCUUGCGCUGUAGCUGUUUUUAUUACCCCUAUUUUACUACUGGGGAGGAGAUUUGAGGUCCUGAAAGUGAAGUGACUUGCUGGACGUCACUUAGCAGAGGAGAUGGCGAAACCUGGAUUAGAGGCGAUGCCUUCUAACUCCCAGCGUGGAUUUGCCUCCUUUCCUGGGGGUGACUGAAUGCCCAGCCAGGGACGCGACAUCUCCGGCCGGCAGAAAUACGGCCUCCUCCCCGCCGACUGGGCAAACGGGGACCUUGCGGCCAAGGAGGGAUUCGCAGGCGGGCCGGGGGUGGGAGCGGGGGCCGGAGCCGGAGCCUUGGCCCGCCCCCGGGCGGUGCUGUGAUUGGCCGGCCGCUCCGGCGAGCGUCGCGAUUGGCCUUCCUGCAGCCGUUGAGAUUUGAACUCGGUAUUUGUGGCUUUGCCCGCGCGUUGCCAGACUCAGAGGCGGCCCUUUGCCUCUGCCUGCCGGGGAUUGGCCGGAUUCUCCGCCGACUUGAAAACUGCCUUGCUAAUUGCCCUGUGAGCCUGUAGGAGUAGAAUGGCUCCCCAAAUGUAUGAGUUCCAUCUGCCAUUAUCCCCAGAGGAGUUGUUGAAAAGUGGAGGGG